UGCCUCUCCUCCAUCUUGUUUCCUCUCCUGACUCAGUUGUAAAUCAGUGCAGCAGCUCUGAGGCUGCAGGCUGCGCAGAGGAGAAAAAAAGAAAACCCGGAGUGAAGUGACGGAUUCUUGACAGUAAACUGCGGCUGUAAACGCUGACGGCAGCCGCACAUGGCUGACCAGCGACCGCGCAUAGUUUCCUCCUCAGCCGCUGGAGAGAAUCAUGACGCGCUCCAUUAGUGCUGCCCGCACCGUGUGAUGACGUUACGACCGGAGAAAAUGCGACAACAACAUGGAGUCUGUCCGUCUGAGGAGAAUGGAGCUGAAAACCUCCGGACUGAGUUUUCCUUUAAUAGUCGUGCGAGUUCCUGCGCGGCGGUUUCUGGCCUCGGAAAGCUUUUAAUUACGCCUGCAGGGUGACAUUUAACGCAGCAAAUCAAAGCCGUUCCCACCAUCAUCAUCAUCAUCAUCUUCAUCAUCCCGCUGCAGCUGCUGUGGCCAGCACGUGUGAUCAGACUGAUCUCAUUAGCAGCUAUCAGUGAAAGUCAAUUAGUCGUCCUGCCACAACUCAUUCAGGACGAGAGAGCUCACCGAGUCCUUAAAACAACAAACAGAACCACGUUCGGAUUAUUUGCUAUUUUAACGUGAAACGUCGAUUUACUCGAUGUAGAACUUCUAUAAUGUGUUUGGGUGAAAAUAAAGAUAAUUUGUUGAACAGAUUGAAGUUUUCGGCUGAGCCAGAUCAUCUGUUGCGUUCACGUUUCUGUGAGAAAAUCGGGAAAAAUUAAACGUAAUUUGCAGGGUUUGGAUCUUGUGUUAAUCUGCUAAAAUCUUUUUUUAAUCUAAUUAUAUUAAAAAACAAACAAACUACCACAACUGUUUCAGCUCAUCAAACCAACCCCAGACUGAUUCUUUCCUUCUGCUGUUUUUUUUUAUUUAAACUCGCCUCUCAACACAAAAAGAUCCGAUCAGCUGUUAUUUGAUUCCUUAAUUGUUGCCGCGAAGACACGCGCGCUAAUUAUGACAGAUGAUUAGGCUCCGACGUUCUGAGAGUUUGACAGGCCGAAAAUAAGCGUGAAUUAACGGCGUGACCCGCCACUUCCUCCCGCAUAGUUCUCGGAAGAUUUUUUUUUUUAGCCUUUUAAAAAAAAAACAAAAACAAUAACAAUAACACUCAUUAAAGCCUGUAACGGUUCUGUCAGCCUCUGCAGAUGGGCCUCCGAGCAGGAGAAGAGGAGGAGGAGGAGGAGGAGGAAGGAGCGUUUAUUUACUCUCUCAACGGAGCGCCGAAGAGGGCGAGCUGCGGGUUUCUGCGCUUUCACCGAGUUUAUCCGAGUUUUACUCAACCUCACCUCGUGUUUGAACGCAAUAAAGUUGGAAAUCACGGCCACGAUUUUCCUCUCUGGCCUCGUCAGCGGGCAGCUCAGCGGAGCAGCGCCCGCUGCUCACCGCACCGAAGUCGGCUUACACUUUUACGCACAGGCGGAGAGGAGCGAGUGACGGCGGGGGGAAACAAAACAGAACAGAACAGAACAGAACUGUAUUUUAUGAUUAUUAACUGAUAAAAUAAAUCACAUGUGGAGCACCAAACUAUCACACACGCGUCGAAGCAUCAUGUGACGCACUCAGAGUGUUUUCAGAUGAAGUUAUAAAACUUUUCUGUCUUGAAUAAAAAAGAUAAAAA